UACGGAGGGGGCAAGCGUUAUCCGGAUUUAUUGGGUUUAAAGGGUCCGUAGGCGGAUCUGUAAGUCAGUGGUGAAAUCUCACAGCUUAACUGUGAAACUGCCAUUGAUACUGCAGGUCUUGAGUGUUAUUGAAGUAGCUGGAAUAAGUAGUGUAGCGGUGAAAUGCAUAGAUAUUACUUAGAACACCAAUUGCGAAGGCAGGUUACUAAGCAACAACUGACGCUGAUGGACGAAAGCGUGGGGAGCGAACAGG
rnacentral:rRNA from 1 species